rnacentral:rRNA from 1 species
GACGAACGCUGGCGGCGUGCCUAAUACAUGCAAGUCGAGCGAACAGAUCCUGCUUUUGCUCCGCUCUCGAUUGCCGCGGGCGGGUGUGUCACGUGUGGAAAACCUCCCUUAAUUUCUGGUAUCUCUUCGGGAAACCGGAGCAAACCCGUGAUAAUAUCUUGCACCACUUUGUUCAAUAUUGAAUUACGGUUUUGCUGGCUCUACUAGAUGGAUCCGCGCUGCAUUAGCUGGUUGUGAAGGUAACGGCUUAGCAAGGCAACGAUGCGUAGCCGACCGGAGAGGGUGAUAGGCCACACUGGAACUGAGACACGGUCCAGACUCCUACGGGAGGCAGCAGUAGGGAAUCUUCGGCAAUGGGCGAAAGCCUGACGGAGCAACGCGGCGUGAGUGAUGAAGGUCUUCGGAUCGUAAAACUCUGUUAUUAGGGAAGAACAAAUGUGUAAGUAACUGUGCACGGCUUGACGGUAACUAAUCAGAAAGCCACGGCUAACUACGUG